rnacentral:lncRNA from 9 species
AUGAUGAACAAUAGAACAUCCAUAAAAAUAAACCCAGCUAUUCCAAGGCUGGCAAGUAUUCAGGAACAUAAGACAGCAAGCAUAGUUAAGAACAAAUGUCAAAGGGUAGAGUUUGAAAGAAAAGAACAGAGAAAGGAAGACAGAGGGAGGAUGGAUAUGGAGUGGAAGCUCCCAUGCAACGUGAACAUUUGCUUCCUGGUGGGAUGGAUACUGUCACUUCACUCUGUCUGAACCACCUAUUGCAACCUAAGAGUUAAUAAGUAUCAGAAAGAAUGAGUUAAUAAGUAUCAGAAAGAAUGAGCCAAGUGUAUGUGGAGUGAUAACAGCUAUUAAAUCUUUAAAUAAGUUUGCUAUUGGAGUUUCCUUUGUGGCUCAACAGGGUAAGAACCCAACUAGUAUCCAUCAGGCUGUGGGUUUGAUCCUCAGUCUCCCUCAGCGGGUUAAGGAUUCAAUGUUGCCACAAGCUCUCACGUGGGCCUCAGCUGCAGUUCCGAUUCAACCCCUGGCCUGGGAACUUCCAUGUGCCACAGCUGCAGCCUUAAAAUAAAUAAACAAAUAAUUAAAUAAAAAGUUUGCCACAUCUAUUGGUGUUUAUCCUUGACCUUUUCCCUUGAGGUCUCAGGUUACAUAAAUAGUAAUUUUUGUUGGCUUUGAUGUUUAUAACAUGAUACUCACAGCGAGUUACAAACAAUGAAAUAGUGUAACCAAAACAGAAGGCUCUUAUUAGUGAGUCGUCAGAAAGAGAUAAAGUUAAACAAUUUAGGGCCAGAUCCUGAAGGGUCUUAAAACAAUUAUAGAGUUUGGACUUUUUCUAUGUAGCCAUCAGGGGAUACCAUUAAGAGUUUCUGAACACAGGGCAAUCUGAAUUGUGUGGCUUGGGAGGAAUCAACAGGGUGCCACACACAGUGUAGACAGGUGUGGAGAGAGAUGAGAGGCGAUAUUCUAACUGGUUAGAAUUCUUUUUUUUUUUUUUUUUUUUUUUUGUCUUUUUGCUAUUUCUUGGGCUGCUCCCGCGGCAUAUGGAGAUUCCCAGGCUAGGGGUCCAAUUGGAUCUGUAGCCACCAGCCUACGCCAGAGCCACAGCAACGCGGGAUCCGAGCCACGUCUGCAGCCUACACCCCAGCUCACAGCAACGCCGGAUCCUUAACCCACUGAGCAAGGCCAGGGAUCGAACCUGCAACCUCAUGGUUCCUAGUCGGAUUCAUUAACCACUGCGCCACGAUGGGAACUCCUGGUUAGAAUUCUAACAGUAAAAAGCACAGUGCUGGCUGGCAGUGAGUGUCUAGACCAAGAUGGUGGCACUGAGAACAGGAGGAAGGGAAUGACACGUGAAGAAUUUCUAGGUGACUCACGUGAUGUAGGAGCACCAAAAACUCUCCAGCCCCAGGCCAGAGGGCAAGUUCAAAUGAAGUGCACAAAGAUACUCUACAAUCUCAUGCUCCACGGGGUUUCUCUGGGUUGGAUGUGGUGCCCAGGGCACUUUGGAGCAGGCCCAAGAGCAGGAGGUGCUCUGUCUUAUUUAGUUCAAAAAGCAUCUGCCUAACCAGCCCUCCUUCAUUGUUCCUCAGGAGACGCUUAAAGGGGCAGAGGAAAGUAUUAAAGGACAUGUCAAAACUACUACAUAAAAUCAUCUUACUUUAGAAAGGGGCACUUCAUCUCCACCUAUAUUUGAGGAAUUUUGUAAAGAGAAUACAGUGGGAAUUUAAAGAUCCAUAAAAUCCCUAUCUAGUGAUUUGAACUCGACUGUGUUGUGGUUGACAACUAUCUCCAGCCAUCCUGGGAGAAACAAGGGUGUUAUUUUCAGGAACCUGAUAUCUACAUGUUCUGUAUGCACAUGGAGGCUAUAAUCAAGUGACCAAAAUAGACAUAAAAAUUCCUACAUCUUGAAAAAAAAAAAAGCUAAUUGUCCAUCUACGUAUUUCCAUUGUCACCACGGCAUCACUCUGGAAGAAACGUACUUGGAAUUCUGUCCCAAUAUUCCAUUUUCUUACUUGCAUACAUAAAAACUCAAUGGUUUGGAUUUUGUUAGUGAAACAAACUGAAAAAAAAGAAAACAUAAAAAGAAUAAUGUGGAGUUCCCAUCAUGUUGCAGUGGAAACAAAUCUGACUAGGAAUGAUGAGGCUGCAGGUUCGAUCUCUGGCCUCACUCAGUGGGUUAAGGAUCCGGCGUUGCUGUGGGCUGUGGUGUAGGUCGCCGAUGAGGCUCAGACCUGGUGUUGCUGAGGCUGUGGCAAAGGCUGGCAGCUACAGCUCCAAUAAGACCCCUAGCCUGGGAACCUCC